rnacentral:lncRNA from 1 species
GAAGAGGCACAGUUUCAGAUGCUGAUGGACAGACUUGGAGCCCAGAAAAUUCUGGAUGAUGAAAGUGAUGUCAGGCAACUGUGGCUGCAGUUGAAGAAGGAUGAGCCUCACCUGCUGUCCAACUUCGAAGACCUCCUCACCACAAUCUUCACUCAGCUCCAAGAAGCCCACGAGCAGAAGAAUGAACUGGAAUGUGCCCUCAGAAAGAAAAUCGCUGCUUAUGAUGAAGAAAUUCAGCAUCUCUAUGAGGAGAUGGAACAGCAGAUCAAAAGCGAAAGGGA